rnacentral:rRNA from 1 species
AUUGAACGCUGGCGGCAGGCCCAACACAUGCAAGUCGAGCGGAUGAAGGGAGCUUGCUCCUGGAUUCAGCGGAGGACGGGUGAGUAAUGCCUAGGCAUCUGCCUGGUAGUGGGGGAAAACGUCCGGAAAUGGGCUAUAAUCCCACAUACGUCCUGGGGGAGAAAGGGGGGGAUUUUGGGCCCUCACGCUAUCAGCUGACCCUAGGGCGGAUUAGCUAGUUGGUGGGGUAAAGGCCUACCAAGGCGACGAUCCGUAACUGGUCUGAGAGGAUGAUCAGUCACACUGGAACUGAGACACGGUCCAGACUCCUACGGGAGGCAGCAGUGGGGAAUAUUGGACAAUGGGCGAAAGCCUGAUCCAGCCAUGCCGCGUGUGUGAAGAAGGUCUUCGGAUUGUAAAGCACUUUAAGUUGGGAGGAAGGGCAGUAAGUUAAUACCUUGCUGUUUUGACGUUACCAACAGAAUAAGCACCGGCUAACUUCGUG